GUUGCGGUUGAGGUAUUUUCGUUGAAGGAUCUUGGUGGAUGGUCGUUGGUACAUUCUUUUCCGCUACAAUGGUGUAGGGAGGCUAUUAUUGAGGGAGGAUGUCGAGAAUCCCUGUCAUUGAGGUCAGUUAUGUGUAUUUGUGAAUGGUUUCAAAAAUUUAUACUUGUUUGUAAUUGUUGUUUAUUAGGAACUUACAUUUUGUAGACAUGGUAAAAUGUUAUUUUCCUUCCUCCCACCAAUUAAGAUUCGUAUUUGUAGUUUUGCU
rnacentral:lncRNA from 1 species